rnacentral:lncRNA from 1 species
UCUUAUCACCCCAUCCAUCCUUUUAUCCAUUUUGUCCAAGUCACAAUUAGCAUCCACUCCCAAAACCAUUGCUUGCCAUUACUGCUGCCCGUACCACCACUUCCACCAUCGUUGCCCGCAACCUCCCCAUUUCGCAUCCACCCUAGUUGUAGAAAACGUAACCCUAAUCCUAACCCCAAACCCAUUUGUCGCCCCGCAACCUCCCAAUUCCACAUCCACCCUAGUUGUAGAAACCAUAACCCUAAUCCUAACCCCAUACCCAUUUUUCACAUCAAUUGAACGGUUUUAUGAUUUGCUCGGCCUCCAAUUUGUAUUGUGAGGUCGAUUGAAGGCACGGAGGGAGACAACGACAUGAUCGCGUCACCGGUGCAGUCCAUUUCACGUAAUUAAGUGAUGGAAGGAAACUUUGAAUGGGGCGACGGUGUGAGGGUUUCCAUUUAGGGUCCUCGCGAACUGAAUGGAUUUAGGAUCUAUUGGGCCCCAGUAUGUAGCGUGAGGCUGGUCGAAGACAGGAAGGGAGAAUGGGAGAUGAUGGCAUGAUUCAGCCGUCGAUAUAAUCCAUUUUCGAUAGUUUGGAAGGAAGCUUUUGCGUGGGUUAGGGAUGAUGUGGGAUGGGUGUGAUGUUGGUUUGUGAUUAAUUAAUUUGAUAAUUUGUAAUCAACAAAUAAUUGUGCCUUAAAUAAAACACACUUACAACUAAAUUUGCUAUUGUGACCUAUAAAUUGUAUCUUUAUAACUAUGAAGUUGGACAAUUUGUGAUUAAUACCUUAUCGUGAUUAUAAAUUAUGCAUUAUUGUGACCUUGACCCGUUCAAUUAAUUAUAAGUCACAAAAUUGUAUUUUUGAACUUUUUCGCAAGUUUCUUAUUUUUGAAAGUGUGGAAUUAAACCUUUGUAGUUAAUUUUUUUUUCAAAUUAUUUAGAUAUGUGAACUUAGAUCUUUAUGUAACAAAAAUUGUUUAAAUAAACAAUGAAAUUGAAUGCAACUUUUAUAUGACAUAAAAUUAGAUGUUAAGUCGUGACGAUUCGCCGUGUGACUCUAGAUUAAAUGAAAAUUACGUUUAAUAAACAUCCACAAUGAUAGUUUUCAUCACUUAAGGCCUCAUAUUUACAUGUGUAAAUGGGUUGGGGGAAUCGAACCUCAUUUUUGAAUAUUAGUAAAAAUUAUUUUCAUUAACUUAAAAAAGUCCACUCCUUUUUUUGUUGAACUUGGGGGUUAUUUUGGGUGUAUUGUUUUAAUUAUCUAAUCUAAUUUGUAUUAUUUGAGUACUCGAUAAGGUUAGUCCCGACUGAUUAGCCAAGCCCUUGCUUAUGUUCUUUGAUAGAGAACUUACACCUUACCCCUUAUAGUCGCUAAUUUCAUAAAAGAACAAUUUGUAUUCUGUCAACAAAAUGUGCUUAACACAACCUAUAACGUAAAUGCAUUUGAAACUCUUCUAAACUAUGUUUUUGAGCUAACAAAAUCAGACUUCAUUAACGAGGGUCUCUCUCUCAAAAAAAAAAAAUAAUAAAUAAAUAAAUUGACUGUUAAUUUUACAUUUUUCUUUCUUAUUUUUGAAUUGAAUAGCAUUUGAUUAUGCAUAAUUCUUAUGAUCUGGCUAAUAUUUAAAGUUAUUAUUCUUGUUCAAUGCUAUGCCAUUAUUUCCAAAAAUUUGAAAUCCAUGUUCAGUGUCAACAUUAAAUGUCAUACCAAAAUAACGCUCACAGCAGUAAAUGUGAAAAUGACAAAACUGAAAAAUCCAAAAUCAAUUAUAAGUUUUUUAUUACUUCUACAAAAAGAGUCUGACAAUAUGCUGGGAAAUUUAUAAUUUAUAAAUAUUUUAAUGUUUAAUUAAUCAUUACUUAAUUAAUGGUAAUACAGUGGUGCUGAUGCAAAACUUGUCAUCAAAGCUAUCACACCUUGCAGAAUUUCACACGCUUGCGUAGCAUCUAGGUAUCUAUGUAAUAUUCUCUUUAAUCAAAUUUUUUGACAUUCAGUUAAAAAUUUCAAAAUAUUCACAAGUUAUAGAAUUGACCUCCCCACUUUAAUGAACUUCUUCUUAUGCAUGACGUGAAAAGAGAACUAUAGUUAUAAUUCUUUAAACUUAUAAUCGUUUUAUAUAACCAUCAUUAAGGGUUUCUUACCACGCCAACGAUUGGAAGUUAAACCUUGAUUACUUGUCCAUAUUCUUUGUGUGAGAAAAUGAGUAAAAGGAAAAGGACACAUUGUAGAAAGAGCAUACCAUAAUUUGGAGGGGUUUUGUUAUUUGUAUAGCUCCCUCACAAUAGGGAGGGUAUGCGCCCAAAAAUUAAAAUUAGAGUUUUACUAUAUUUUGAUAAAAGUUAAUGAAUUGUGUGAUUAAAAUGCUGUGAAUUCCAUAAAACAUGUUAUUGAAAUUAAUUGCUAAUUUUAAUUUUAAUUAAGAUCUUGAUUUUAGUCCUACCAAACAUGGGCAAAAUGUAAAAGUAAUGACAUUGCAAUUCUAAAUAUGAUAAUUUUCACGAAUAAAAAUAUUGACUUGAUACUUGAUGAAGAGUAUAAAAGUCAAGUUCGUUCUUAAUAUCUACAUUAUCCCUCGUUUUUUUGCAAUGUACAUGCCUAAUAAAAAUUCUAAUUGCUCCAAUCUCCUAAUUGAAAAGAAUUAUACUAUGUGUACAACACCUGCUCUACACUCAUUUUAACAGCCUACUCACAUGAGUGGGCCCCUACGAUUAUUUUAAUCACUGGAUCCACUUGUGUGAUGUGAGAGGGUUGUUAAAGAUAGUGUAAAAAUGAGUGUACUUGUAGCAUAAUUCAAUUGAAAACCCCAAAAUCUUUUGGAGAAUAAUAAUAAAAAAAAAAAAAACUCUAAUUGUGCUUGUCCAAGAGAGCCCGAUCCAAAAAAGUGUGGUUCUCAAAAUGAGCAUAUGCUUGUUUACUUGAUCCAACUGCCCAAUGUUGAUAAUGGUAGCCAACAAUUAGAAGAAGACAGACUAAGUUACGAUCCAAAGUAAUCUUAACAUCUUGGCAGCAUGGGGACAGUGACAGAUCUAGGAUUCUUGAUCACUGAGGCGAUCGUGGAUCGUCGACCGUCCACCAUCCAUCGUCAUUUUCUACUUUUCAUUCAACCAAAGAACGGGUUACUAGAUGCAAUUUCUAAGUGCUUCUGCGUAUGUCCAAAAGACAAACUUAGCCAUCUUUCUUCCAUGAACAAUGUAUGAAGAAGCAUACUACAAAGUGCAAAAGUUAAGUGCAUUUUGGUUUAGGAAAAGAAUAUAACAAGAAACCAAGGGUAAAAUCCAAAUCGUUUUUACAGCUCUAAGCAUUGAAUUAUUAUCCCUCUACAAACAUUUCCAAAGGCAUAAAGCUUAAGAAGAUGUGAUCAGAUAAAAAUAGAAUCUUCAGACAAACAUAAGAGCCUGUUCAAUAACAUAAUUCAGCACUAUCUAUUAGUCUACCACCAUAAUUUGAAAAGAAAUUAACAAUUGCACGAGAACAACAAAAAGGACUCAGAAUUUAGCCCAAAAGGCUCAAAUCAUUUAAAGUCUCAUUCAAUAAUUAUAAUUCGUGAGAGCACAAAAACAACAAUACUCCAAAAGAAAAUUUCCAAUAAAGCAAAAAUACACACAUGUACAACAAAACAUCAUCAGUGCUAAGUCAUAAAAACCUUGUAUAAAGACAAUAAACUAACUAUCAUACGCCUACAUAUAAAUUUACACUCGUAAGUCAUAAAUCAUAACUCAUAACUCACACUUUCAUAGUUAUAACAUAGAUCAUAAAUAUAUAAAAAAAAAAUUGGAGUCUAAAAAAAAAAAAACCAAAAAUUGAAAAAAGAAGAGGCAGUUGACUGAGACUCACGAAGAGAAAGACGAAAAUAUAGUGGGUCAGCGGCGGAGAUCAAAGAAGCUCGAAGGCGACUCGGCGCAGCCUAUAACGGGUCUUAAGGCGCGGUAGGGAGGAAAUGAGAUAGGGUUUGGAAUUGCGACUUGUUCUCUCAUUUCGCAAUUGAAUUAACUGUUACAAUUACACAAUAUAUACCUAGCAGCUGCAUCCAACAUUUUGGGCCUACGUUUUUUGAAAAAAUGAAAGGAAAGAGAGGUGCAUCAGAAGAAAAGGCCCAGAAUUAAAAAAUAACUAUAAUCUUCCAAAUUCCUCGAUUCCUCCAUUCAUGGCGCCUAAACUUCAAUCUUCACAAUUUCUCCUUAGCUUCAAUGUCAAUUGUAAAUUUCAUGGAGCCAACAUGCGUGGCCACGCCUCCUCGCCAGGUGUUGGAUCUGCAACUGUAUAGGGAUCAAAAUGCUUCAAGGUAACUACAGCAUAAAAAGUUACUUUUUUCUAAUAUUAAAAUUGCUUAUAAUUUAUUUUGGGCUUAAUUACAUGGGUAUAAAAAAUUGAUCAAGGUUGUCAAUACAGUACAAUAUGUGUAUUUGAAUUUCAUUAUAAGUAACUUACAAAAAGAUUAUAAUAAAAUUGAACACACUGAUUUUUUUAUUUUUUAUUUUUUCCUAAUAGACUUCUAAUGAGUACAAUUUAGGUUAACCUCAAUCAUAAUGAUCUCAACCCGAGGAGAUAAUGAUCCUCGAGGUGCCUCAUUGGACCAAAGCAUCAAUGGUGUCCAUGAGAUUGAGAUCAUGUACCCCAUGACAUCCUUAAAUGAUUUCGACCCCUUAUUGCGCUCGCUCGCUCGCUCUCUCUCUCUCUCUCUCCAUUUUGAGGUCUGUAAAUUGUGACAGUAGGCAAAUCACCCGACUUAUUUAGUAGUUAUUUAAAUUAUAUUCCUUUUAAGUUAUAUUCAUGAGCUUGCACGGCCCACUUUUCUUCAUUCAAUUUUUGGGUCUGCACACCCAUUAUUACUUUGUGAAGUUGAAUAAGUAAUGACUUAUAGAUUGUCUUGAACAUAUCACGAGGAAAAAUGUAAUCCAUUGGUCUUGUACUUGCUAGAGUAUACUCCCCUAAUAAUGUCAAGUGUUCAUCCUAUGAAGCAUAUAAAAACAAAUUUGCUACACAAGUGCGUCGAGCUUUGCCCCGAGUAGUCACCUCAAGCUUGAAUAUAUCUAAAGGGGUGUAUUUAAUUCAAACUUUUAAUGAUUUUUUGAAAUUUAAAAAGUUUUGGAGUAUUCAAUUGAGAUUUUUUGAGACUCUCUAAAAGUCACGAUGUAUUCAAUUGAAACUUUUAUAGACUUUUAAAAAGUCUUUAAAGUUACAGUAUAAUCAAUUAAGCUCCCAUUUGACCUCCAUUAGAUUACAUUCCACCAUCGUUGCCCGCAACCUCCCCAUUUCGCAUCCACCCUAGUUGUAGAAAACGUAACCCUAAUCCUAACCCCAAACCCAUUUGUCGCCCCGCAACCUCCCAAUUCCACAUCCACCCUAGUUGUAGAAACCAUAACCCUAAUCCUAACCCCAUACCCAUUUUUCACAUCAAUUGAACGGUUUUAUGAUUUGCUCGGCCCCCAAUUUGUAUUGUGAGGUCGAUUGAAGGCACGGAGGGAGACAACGACAUGAUCGCGUCACCGGUGCAGUCCAUUUCACGUAAUUAAGUGAUGGAAGGAAACUUUGAAUGGGGCGACGGUGUGAGGGUCCUCGCGAACUGAAUGGAUUUAGGAUCUAUUGGGCCCCAGUAUGUAGCGUGAGGCUGGUCGAAGACAGGAAGGGAGAAUGGGAGAUGAUGGCAUGAUUCAGCCGUCGAUAUAAUCCAUUUUCGAUGGUUUGGAAGGAAGCUUUUGCGUGGGUUAGGGAUGAUGUGGGAUGGGUGUGAUGUUGGUUUGUGAUUAAUUAAUUUGAUAAUUUGUAAUCAACAAAUAAUUUGUGCCUUAAAUAAAACACACUUACAACUAAAUUUGCUAUUGUGACCUAUAAAUUGUAUCUUUAUAACUAUGAAGU